CGGGGAAGGGUAGCUUGCUACCUGACCUAGCGGCGGACGGGUGAGUAAUGCUUAGGAAUCUGCCUAUUAGUGGGGGACAACAUUCCGAAAGGAAUGCUAAUACCGCAUACGCCCUACGGGGGAAAGCAGGGGAUCUUCGGACCUUGCGCUAAUAGAUGAGCCUAAGUCAGAUUAGCUAGUUGGUGGGGUAAAGGCCUACCAAGGCGACGAUCUGUAGCGGGUCUGAGAGGAUGAUCCGCCACACUGGGACUGAGACACGGCCCAGACUCCUACGGGAGGCAGCAGUGGGGAAUAUUGGACAAUGGGCGCAAGCCUGAUCCAGCCAUGCCGCGUGUGUGAAGAAGGCCUUUUGGUUGUAAAGCACUUUAAGCGAGGAGGAGGCUACUUGGAUUAAUACUCUAGGAUAGUGGACGUUACUCGCAGAAUAAGCACCGGCUAACUCUGUGCCAGCAGCCGCGGUAAUACAGAGGGUGCGAGCGUUAAUCGGAUUUACUGGGCGUAAAGCGUGCGUAGGCGGCUUCUUAAGUCGGAUGUGAAAUCCCUGAGCUUAACUUAGGAAUUGCAUUCGAUACUGGGAAGCUAGAGUAUGGGAGAGGAUGGUAGAAUUCCAGGUGUAGCGGUGAAAUGCGUAGAGAUCUGGAGGAAUACCGAUGGCGAAGGCAGCCAUCUGGCCUAAUACUGACGCUGAGGUACGAAAGCAUGGGGAGCAAA
rnacentral:rRNA from 1 species